CUGGGGUGCAUUGUAGUUGCAUUGCAUGUGUGUGUACAUGGUGUGCAAUGCUCCUUCCAUGCAACACAG
rfam:Salmo salar isolate Sally breed double haploid chromosome ssa28, whole genome shotgun sequence.